GACGAACGCUGGCGGCGUGCUUAACACAUGCAAGUCGAACGAAGUGGCGAACGGGUGAGUAACGCGUAAUCAACCUGCCCUUCAGAGGGGGACAACAGUUGGAAACGACUGCUAAUACCGCAUACUGAAGGAGGGGAUUGCGUCUGAUUAGCUAGUUGGAGGGGUAACGGCCCACCAAGGCGAUGAUCAGUAGCCGGUCUGCGAGAAUGAACGGACAAAUUGGGACUGAGACGCGGCCCAGAAUCCUACGGGAGGCAUCAGUGGGUAAUCUUCUGCAAUGGUCGAAAGUCGGACGGAGCAACGCAGCGGUAGUGAUGACGGACUUCGGGUUGGAAAGCUCGGUUAGUCGGGACGCGGUACCGGAAUAGAAAGCCACGGCUAACUACGUGCCAGCAGCCGCGGUAAUA
rnacentral:rRNA from 1 species